UCUGGAGAUAGCUGGUUCUCUCCGAAAGCUAUUUAGGUAGCGCGUCGUGUAUCACUUCCGGGGGUAGAGCACUGUAAUGGUUGCGGGGGUCAUUGCGACUUACCGCGCCAUAGCAAACUCCGAAUACUGGAAAGUGCGAGCACGGCAGACAGACAGUGGGUGCUAACGUCCAUUGUCGAGAGGGAAACAACCCAGACCGCCGAUUAAGGUCCCCAAGACACAGUUAAGUGGGAAACGAGGUGGGAAGGCUUAGACAGCCAGGAGGUUGGCUUAGAAGCAGCCACCCUUUAAAGAAAGCGUAAUAGCUCACUGGUCGAGUCGUCCUGCGCGGAAAAUGUAACGGGGCUCAAACUGUGCACCGAAAUCGCGGAUCUCGUAAGAGAUGGUAGGAGAGCGUUCCGUAGGCCGUUGAAGGUGGGAUGUGAACCCUGCUGGAGGUAUCGGAAGUGCGAAUGCUGACAUGAGUAGCGAUAAAGCGGGUGAAAGGCCCGCUCGCCGAAAGCCCAAGGUUUCCUGCGCAACGUUCAUCGGCGCAGGGUGAGUCGGCCCCUAAGGCGAGGCCGAAAGGCGUAGUCGAUGGGAAACAGGUUAAUAGUCCUGUACCUUUAUGCAAUGCGAUGGGGGGACGGAGAAGGUUAGGUGGGCCGGGCGUUGGAUGUCCCGGUUUAAGUGUGUAGGCGUGCCCGGCAGGCAAAUCCGCUGGGCUUAGUCGAGGCACGAUGACGCAAGGCUCCUCGGAGCCCCAAGCCACU
rnacentral:rRNA from 1 species